rnacentral:misc_RNA from 1 species
GCUUUGACUCCAAUCAGAGUUUAUAUUUAAUGCUUCACAGCUUCGAAAAUGACUCCAAAUAUAUUUUUUAUAUCAUUAAGUUUCAAUUUUUGAUAUAAGCCUAUUGGUUGUGACUUGUAAAGACUUUAUUUGAAGUGAAAUAUUAUUAACAAACUAUGAUUCAAACCAGCAAUAUACCACGUUUUGAUCUCAGCAGCUAAACGACAGCAGCCUGCUUUAUUAGUAUUACAGAAAACAGCAAACAAGGAACAGAACAAAAGCCAGCUGAACUUAGGUAGUCUCCAUUCAACUAUUAUAAUCCAGAAACAUUUAUUUACUAGUUGGCUUCUCCGCACAUUUUGCCCACAAAAAGCUUGCAUGUGCUUCUGACAAGUUACAGAAUUAAAGGCUUUAAAGACAAGGAAGAAGUGGGGAGGCUAUGCUCUAACAUGCUUGUGUGCGUGGCUUUGAUAUUCUUUCAGGAUUGAGGAAUGGGUUUUUCUUGAUUUCUUGUUACUAGAUAGAAAGAAUUAAGAUUGUAAAAAAUUGAAAUCCUUUUGGUCGGUAAAAGGCUGACUGGUAUUCAAAAUGACGGCUCCUCUCUUUAGGAUCUUUACUUACCAUAUUUUAUUUUUUCAAUUUUUUAUUUGUUUGCAUAACUAAUUAGUUAGGAUAAGCUGGAUUAUGCUAGUUUAAUCAGACAGUGUUGGCAUAUAUAGCAGGUUUCAGGAUGUCAAAGAUCAUUGUACCUCUCCUUAGGGAUUUCAUGCACUUCUGGAACUUUUUGUGAAAAGUGUCUCCUCCUCUUAUCUUCUCGUAGCCUUCUUUGGAACAGAGACAACAACACUAUUCCCCUAAGGAACCUCUCAGCUUCGUUAAUGGAUUCAUCCAAAUACAAUUUAGCCACAGAAGGAUGUAGCAGCAGUGAAUCCGGAUGGACAAUAUACAUUGCCUCUCCCAUGCAAGAAGAUGACAGUGAGUGCAGUGACAAUGACAAUGAUCACAAUACUACCGCCAACGAUGGAAAUGCCGAUGAUGAUGAUAAGCAAGACAGUGAUGAUUCAAUGGCUUCAGAUGCUUCCUCUAGCCCACAUCAUCUCUGUAAACCUGAGAAUGGUCGUCAAGCUAAUCAUGGAACAACUGGUUUUAAGCAUGACAAGGGCAAUAACUUCAAGCAUUGUUCUCCAGAAAUUUCUUAAGAGGUAAACUCGUAGAUUCGAUGGAGUUUCAGCUUUUCACUGUCAGUAACGUGGAAGAUUAAACAUAAUGUUUAGAAUUCCUGAGUAAUACAAUCAGCUUUUUGCAUUAAAA